rnacentral:rRNA from 1 species
GACGUAGGGCGCGAGCGUUGUCCGGAUUUAUUGGGCGUAAAGGGCUCGUAGGCGGUCCGUCACGUCGGGAGUGAAAACUCGGGGCUCAACCCCGAGCCUGCUUUCGAUACGGGCGGACUAGAGGUAGGUAGGGGAGAACGGAAUUCCUGGUGUAGCGGUGGAAUGCGCAGAUAUCAGGAGGAACACCGGUGGCGAAGGCGGUUCUCUGGGCCUUACCUGACGCUGAGGAGCGAAAGCGUGGGGAGCGAACAGG